rnacentral:tRNA from 1 species
GGGCCCAUAGCUCAGUCUGGUAGAGCACUUGAUUUUUCACCAAGGUGUCGAGGGUUCGAAUCCCUCUGGGCUCG